rnacentral:misc_RNA from 1 species
GUAGGUGAACCUGCGGAGGGAUCAUUAACAUGAAAUAUAUUAUAUAUACAGUGACUAUAUAUGUAUGUGUUCCACACAUAUUAUAUACGAUCUAUAUAUAUAUCUACACCUGUGAAUUAUAUAACUAUUCUAUACACGUAUACAACACCAUGGAAAUAAGAUAUAUUUAAUUAUAUCUAUUUCCGCUCUAUUUUACCAUAUAUUAACUCCUCACUACAACCCGCUAACAUACCAUAUAUGAUAUAUCACAUUUACAGUGUUCUAUAUAUUAUCACUUAAUAUUACAUCACUCCUAGCAAUGGAUCUCUUGGUUCUC